GGGGUGACACUGAACCCCAGAUCCUCCUUUCCCUGACUCAUGGGUGCUGGGAUUGCAGGUGGCUGAUCAGAAGUGACAGAGAGCAUGACUAGAACAAACGUUGGCUAAUGGGCAGGGUUCCCCAGCGAGCAAAUGAUCAGGGAACUCCUGGACCCAGGAUCUGGGGCACAGCCCCAGAGGCCCACGUGGCAACCCCUGAAGAAGGAUCUAGUAGGUACCAGGCACAAACAUGGCGGACAGCCCUAGGAAGGGGAGGAAUGCCCCCAUGUUAUAUGAGAGAGUAACACAGAGUGCAAAUAAAUGGGCAUGAUAGCCACGAAGGGCCGGCCCACUAGGCUUUGCGUGAA
rnacentral:lncRNA from 1 species